rnacentral:lncRNA from 1 species
CUGCCGGCCCCUCUUGAUGCCAGGGCUGGCACUGCCACCGCUGCUCUGCCAGCCCUGUCAGUGCCAGUGCCAAGAGAGGGGCUGUGAGGGGCCGGGCUGUGACCCCCGGGAGGGACCCAGACCUGGUGAGUGGCUGCUGGUCUCGGUGGGGAGCUGCUGCUGCCGGCACGAGUUCAGGCAGCGGUGGGACCUCAGGAGCACAGAGAGCUGCGUGCUUCCCGUGGCAGGAAAGUCCCUUUCUGGGCAGCAAGUUCCUCUCCAGGCUGGAAACCUCAUCUCCUGAAUUGGUGCUUCAGACUUUGAAGUGGCUGCGGAGCUCAGCAGCCGCCCCGACGCUCUGCCGGCCCCCACCGACCUCCCCACCGGGCAGAGCAGCCCCCGUGACGACCCCCCCAGGACCCUCCUGUGCCCCCGCGCUGGACGGGACCUCUGGAGUGUGUGUGACUCGCUGGGGUCCCGGUGCCUGCCCUGAAGAAGCAGGCAAGCCCCCGGGCCCAAGGCCAUGCCCGAGUGGAGUGAGGAGCAGCUGUGCAUCCCCCCCCACACAGACACCCCACGGCCCCCCACUGCAGCCCCAGCUCGGCCAUGGACAGCACAGGUGGGUGAUGCUGAGCCCCCCGGGGGGCUGGGGUGGGGGGA